GACGAACGCUGGCGGCGUGCUUAACACAUGCAAGUCGAGCGGUAAGGCCCUUUCGGGGGUACGACGAGCGGCGAACGGGUGAGUAACACGUGGGUGACCAGCCCUCAGCUCUGGGAUAAAGCCUGGGAAACCGGGUACUAAUACUGGAUAUGACUCCAUGACGCAUGUUGUGGGGUGGAAAGCCUUGUGCGGCUGAGGAUGGGCCCGCGGCCUAUCAGCUUGUUGGUGGGGUGAGGCCUACCAAGGCGACGACGGGUAGCCGGCCUGAGAGGGCGACCGGCCACAC
rnacentral:rRNA from 1 species